AUUGAACGCUGGCGGCAGGCCUAACACAUCCAAUUCAGGCGAUGGAGGGAAGCUGGCUCUGGGAUUAACCGGCGGACGGUGAGGUAAGGCCAAGAAAUCGGCCGGGUAGGGGGGGUAAACUCCGGGAAACGGGGGCUAUUACCGCUUACGUCUUGGGGGAAAAAGGGGGGGUUCUUCGGACCUAACGCUAUCAGUUGAGCCUAGGUCGGAUUAGCUAGUUGGUGGGGUAAAGGCCUACCAAGGCGACGAUCCGUAACUGGUCUGAGAGGAUGAUCAGUCACACUGGAACUGAGACACGGUCCAGACUCCUACGGGAGGCAGCAGUGGGGAAUAUUGGACAAUGGGCGAAAGCCUGAUCCAGCCAUGCCGCGUGUGUGAAGAAGGUCUUCGGAUUGUAAAGCACUUUAAGUUGGGAGGAAGGGCAGUAAGUUAAUACCUUGCUGUUUUGACGUUACCAACAGAAUAAGCACCGGCUAACUUCGUG
rnacentral:rRNA from 1 species